AAGGAGGCGGAACUGGACAGAGCUCCUGGACCAGGCAAAUAGGAGCAAAGUUUUCGAGGCAUUUAUGGAGACGCCCCAGCCACAGAGCCCACAGACGAUCAGAGACACUGGACUCACACCACGGAGGGUCAGAACUCUUCUGCUGUGAAUCCUACCCAAAGAACAGAAGAGGAAGGGAAAACCUGAAGGUGCUGUGGGUCUCCCGGAGCUAAUUUUUUCCGGACUUGAGAUGCCUCAGGUCACUGCAACUAAGGGCGAAGUAAUCGGGCGUGGGCCUAGAGAACGGCUUCGUGGCUAAGAAGAGUAUGCACUGCUCUUCUAGGGGACUUGAGGUUUAUUUCCAGCAACAACAUCAAGCUUCUCCCUGCUGUUUGUAACUCCUUUCUGAAUCCUCUCAACUCACAGAUACAUGUACAAACCCGCACAGGUCAUGAACACUAUUAAAAUUAAACAUAC
rnacentral:lncRNA from 1 species